UACGAAGGGGGCUAGCGUUGCUCGGAAUUACUGGGCGUAAAGCGCACGUAGGCGGCUUUCUAAGUCGGGGGUGAAAUCCUGGAGCUCAACUCCAGAACUGCCUUCGAUACUGGAGAGCUCGAGUCCGGGAGAGGUGAGUGGAACUGCGAGUGUAGAGGUGAAAUUCGUAGAUAUUGGGAAGAACACCAGUGGCGAAGGCGGCUAUCUGGACGGUUUCUGACGCUAAGACGCGAAAGCGUGGGGAGCAAACAGG
rnacentral:rRNA from 1 species